rnacentral:rRNA from 1 species
UGACCUCAAUCUGGCAAGAUACC